AAGACUAUAGACCUGCGGAGUACCUGCGGAAGGAUCAUUAAAGAGUUUAACUACUCAAACCAUUGUGAACCUUACCUCAACCGUUGCUUCGGCGGGCGGGCCCGGGCCAAGCCCGGCGCCCCCCCGGCCCCUCGCGGGCGCCCGCCGGAGGUUAACCGAACCCUUGAAUUGUAUGGCCUCUCUGAGUCUUCUGUACUGAAUAAGUCAAAACUUUCAACAAUGGAUCUCUAGAUCGGAAGA
rnacentral:misc_RNA from 1 species